UGCGGAGGGGACUAGCGUUGUUCGGAAUUACUGGGCGUAAAGCGCACGUAGGCGGAUUGUUUAGUCAGGGGUGAAAUCCCGAGGCUCAACCUCGGAACUGCCUUUGAUACUGGCAAUCUCGAGUCCGGAAGAGGUGAGUGGAAUUCCUAGUGUAGAGGUGAAAUUCGUAGAUAUUAGGAAGAACACCAGUGGCGAAGGCGGCUCACUGGUCCGGUACUGACGCUGAGGUGCGAAAGCGUGGGGAGCAAACAGG
rnacentral:rRNA from 1 species